UACGUAGGGUGCGAGCGUUGUCCGGAAUUAUUGGGCGUAAAGAGCUCGUAGGCGGUCUGUUGCGUCCGCUGUGAAAACUCGGGGCUUAACCCCGAGCCUGCAGUGGAUACGGGCAGACUAGAGGUAGGUAGGGGAGAGUGGAAUUCCCGGUGUAGCGGUGAAAUGCGCAGAUAUCGGGAAGAACACCCGUGGCGAAGGCGGCUCUCUGGGACGGUACUGACGCUGAGACGCGAAAGCGUGGGGAGCGAACAGG
rnacentral:rRNA from 1 species